rnacentral:rRNA from 1 species
CGGGACACGUGGUAUCCUGUCUGAAUAUGGGGGGACCAUCCUCCAAGGCUAAAUACUCCUGACUGACCGAUAGUGAACCAGUACCGUGAGGGAAAGGCGAAAAGAACCCCGGCGAGGGGAGUGAAAAAGAACCUGAAACCGUGUACGUACAAGCAGUGGGAGCCUCUUAAUGGGGUGACUGCGUACCUUUUGUAUAAUGGGUCAGCGACUUAUAUUCUGUAGCAAGGUUAACCGAAUAGGGGAGCCGAAGGGAAACCGAGUCUUAACUGGGCGUUAAGUUGCAGGGUAUAGACCCGAAACCCGGUGAUCUAGCCAUGGGCAGGUUGAAGGUUGGGUAACACUAACUGGAGGACCGAACCGACUAAUGUUGAAAAAUUAGCGGAUGACUUGUGGCUGGGGGUGAAAGGCCAAUCAAACCGGGAGAUAGCUGGUUCUCCCCGAAAGCUAUUUAGGUAGCGCCUCGUGAAUUCAUCUCCGGGGGUAGAGCACUGUUUCGGCAAGGGGGUCAUCCCGACUUACCAACCCGAUGCAAACUGCGAAUACCGGAGAAUGUUAUCACGGGAGACACACGGCGGGUGCUAACGUCCGUCGUGAAGAGGGAAACAACCCAGACCGCCAGCUAAGGUCCCAAAGUCAUGGUUAAGUGGGAAACGAUGUGGGAAGGCCCAGACAGCCAGGAUGUUGGCUUAGAAGCAGCCAUCAUUUAAAGAAAGCGUAAUAGCUCACUGGUCGAGUCGGCCUGCGCGGAAGAUGUAACGGGGCUAAACCAUGCACCGAAGCUGCGGCAGCGACACUAUGUGUUGUUGGGUAGGGGAGCGUUCUGUAAGCCUGUGAAGGUGUACUGUGAGGU